rnacentral:rRNA from 1 species
CCUACGGGAGGCAGCAGUGGGGAAUAUUGCACAAUGGGCGCAAGCCUGAUGCAGCCAUGCCGCGUGUGUGAAGAAGGCCUUCGGGUUGUAAAGCACUUUCAGCGGGGAGGAAGGCGUUAAGGUUAAUAACCUUGGCGAUUGACGUUACCCGCAGAAGAAGCACUGGCUAACUCCGUGCCAGCAGCCGCGGUAAUACGGAGGGUGCAAGCGUUAAUCGGAAUUACUGGGCGUAAAGCGCACGCAGGCGGUCUGUCAAGUCGGAUGUGAAAUCCCCGGGCUCAACCUGGGAACUGCAUUCGAAACUGGCAGGCUAGAGUCUUGUAGAGGGGGGUAGAAUUCCAGGUGUAGCGGUGAAAUGCGUAGAGAUCUGGAGGAAUACCGGUGGCGAAGGCGGCCCCCUGGACAAAGACUGACGCUCAGGUGCGAAAGCGUGGGGAGCAAACAGGAUUAGAUACCCGAGUAGUC